rnacentral:rRNA from 1 species
GACGAACGCUGGCGGCGUGCCUAAUACAUGCAAGUCGAACGCAGUGGGGACGGGUGAGUAACACGUGGGUAACCUCCCAUCAGAGGGGAGAACACUUGGAAACAGGUGCUAAACCGAUACUGAUGGAUGAACCCGCGGGGCAUUAGCUAGUUGGUGAGGUAACGGCUCACCAAGGCCACGAUGCAUAGCCGACCUGAGAGGGUGAUCAGCCAUACUGGGACUGAGACACGGCCCAGACUCCUACGGGAGGCAGCAGUGGGGAAUCUUGGGCAAUGGGCGAAAGUCUGACCGAGCAACGCCGCGUGAGUGAAGAAGGUUUUCGGGUCGUAAAUCGCUGUUGUUAGAGAAGCGGUAUCUAACCAGAAAGCCACGGCUAACUGCGUGCCAGCCGCCGCGGUAAUUC